ACUAGAGGGGAGGAGACUGCCGGCUUUACUGAGCGCUCCAGCUACAGCUUGAAGGUGCAGAGGCUGUCACCAGACUGGUUGCCCAACGAAAUGGUUUAAAAUAUGUUAUGAAGGUGGCAUGCUGUGGUCUGUGGUGGGGUAUGAAUUCUGCUGAAGUCCAUGCACUUUGCAGCAGCGCUGCUUCUUCUCACACCAGGAAAAGGAAAGUGACAGGCCAUUCUGGCUGAAUUCAGAGGUCCGUUUCACCUGCACUCCUGCCAGGAUAAGACGC
rnacentral:lncRNA from 1 species